UACGUAGGUGGCAAGCGUUGUCCGGAUUUACUGGGCGUAAAGAGCGCGCAGGCGGCCGAGUAAGUCGAAUGUGAAAUCCCCCGGCUCAACUGGGGAAGGUCAUUCGAUACUGUUCGGCUUGAAGAUAGGAGAGGGAAGCGGAAUUUCAGGUGUAGUGGUGAAAUGCGUAGAUAUCUGAAGGAACACCAGUGGCGAAGGCGGCUUUCUGGCCUAUUCUUGACGCUGAGGCGCGAAAGCUAGGGGAGCGAACGGG
rnacentral:rRNA from 1 species